rnacentral:piRNA from 1 species
GCAUGGUCUGGGACACUGGCAAACAGAUG